rnacentral:lncRNA from 1 species
UUUCCUCAGGAUCUGUGACAGAUUGACUUGUGCACAUGCACAGAAACACCUCAUUUUUUGCAGGGGUUAGCCGCUCAGCAGCUGGCUCACGCCUGACCCCGGUCAAGAACCAGAAUCUAGGAGUUCCUCUGCCCACCUCCCUUGAGGGGCUGCAUCUGAGAAUGAGCUAACGUUUACAG